rnacentral:rRNA from 1 species
CAAGGUCUCCGUUGGUGAACCAGCGGAGGGAUCAUUACUGAGUUUACGCUCUAUAACCCUUUGUGAACAUACCUAUAACUGUUGCUUCGGCGGGCAGGGUCUCCGUGACCCUCCCGGCCUCCCGCCCCCGGGCGGGUCGGCGCCCGCCGGAGGAUAACCAAACUCUGAUUUAACGACGUUUCUUCUGAGUGGUACAAGCAAAUAAUCAAAACUUUUAACAACGGAUCUCUUGGUUCUGGCAUCGAUGAAGAACGCAGCGAAAUGCGAUAAGUAAUGUGAAUUGCAGAAUUCAGUGAAUCAUCGAAUCUUUGAACGCACAUUGCGCCCGCCAGCAUUCUGGCGGGCAUGCCUGUUCGAGCGUCAUUUCAACCCUCAAGCUCUGCUUGGUGUUGGGGCCCUACAGCUGAUGUAGGCCCUCAAAGGUAGUGGCGGACCCUCCCGGAGCCUCCUUUGCGUAGUAACUUUACGUCUCGCACUGGGAUCCGGAGGGACUCUUGCCGUAAAACCCCCCAAUUUUCCAAAGGUUGACCUCGGAUCAGG